GCCCCUCUCCGGGGUCAGUCGACUGGAGCGCGGCACGGCGCCGCCCGGUCCUGCUGGCGACGGAGCAGCGGGAGGGUCUGCGGCCGGGGUCCGCACUCUCUUUCCCGGCUGAGCCGCAUCCCGGAGCCCACCUUCUGACCCUGCCGCUCCUCCCUAAGGCGGACGUCCCCCGCCCUCCAGCAGCGAGUCGGGCCCGAGACAGGCGGCGCCCGCCACCCGCUCUCCUCCGGGCCAGCCUCGACCCCUCCCGGCGGCGGGUGGAGGAGGAGCCAGGGCCGCGCCGG
rnacentral:lncRNA from 1 species